rnacentral:rRNA from 1 species
UACGUAGGGCGCAAGCGUUGUCCGGAAUUAUUGGGCGUAAAGAGCUCGUAGGCGGUCUGUCGCGUCUGCCGUGAAAACCCGAGGCUUAACCUCGGGCUGGCGGUGGAUACGGGCAGACUAGAGGUAGGUAGGGGAGAAUGGAAUUCCCGGUGUAGCGGUGAAAUGCGCAGAUAUCGGGAGGAACACCGGUGGCGAAGGCGGUUCUCUGGGCCUUACCUGACGCUGAGGAGCGAAAGCGUGGGGAGCGAACGGG